GGUUAAGCGACUAAGCGUACACGGUGGAUGCCCUGGCAGUCAGAGGCGAUGAAGGACGUGCUAAUCUGCGAUAAGCGUCGGUAAGGUGAUAUGAACCGUUAUAACCGGCGAUUUCCGAAUGGGGAAACCCAGUGUGAUUCGUCACACUAUCAUUAACUGAAUCCAUAGGUUAAUGAGGCGAACCGGGGGAACUGAAACAUCUAAGUACCCCGAGGAAAAGAAAUCAACCGAGAUUCCCCCAGUAGCGGCGAGCGAACGGGGAGCAGCCCAGAGCCUGAAUCAGUGUGUGUGUUAGUGGAAGCGUCUGGAAAGGCGCGCGAUACAGGGUGACAGCCCCGUACACAAAAAUGCACAUACUGUGAGCUCGAUGAGUAGGGCGGGACACGUGGUAUCCUGUCUGAAUAUGGGGGGACCAUCCUCCAAGGCUAAAUACUCCUGACUGACCGAUAGUGAACCAGUACCGUGAGGGAAAGGCGAAAAGAACCCCGGCGAGGGGAGUGAAAAAGAACCUGAAACCGUGUACGUACAAGCAGUGGGAGCCUCUUUAUGGGGUGACUGCGUACCUUUUGUAUAAUGGGUCAGCGACUUAUAUUCUGUAGCAAGGUUAACCGAAUAGGGGAGCCGAAGGGAAACCGAGUCUUAACUGGGCGUUAAGUUGCAGGGUAUAGACCCGAAACCCGGUGAUCUAGCCAUGGGCAGGUUGAAGGUUGGGUAACACUAACUGGAGGACCGAACCGACUAAUGUUGAAAAAUUAGCGGAUGACUUGUGGCUGGGGGUGAAAGGCCAAUCAAACCGGGAGAUAGCUGGUUCUCCCCGAAAGCUAUUUAGGUAGCGCCUCGUGAAUUCAUCUCCGGGGGUAGAGCACUGUUUCGGCAAGGGGGUCAUCCCGACUUACCAACCCGAUGCAAACUGCGAAUACCGGAGAAUGUUAUCACGGGAGACACACGGCGGGUGCUAACGUCCGUCGUGAAGAGGGAAACAACCCAGACCGCCAGCUAAGGUCCCAAAGUCAUGGUUAAGUGGGAAACGAUGUGGGAAGGCCCAGACAGCCAGGAUGUUGGCUUAGAAGCAGCCAUCAUUUAAAGAAAGCGUAAUAGCUCACUGGUCGAGUCGGCCUGCGCGGAAGAUGUAACGGGGCUAAACCAUGCACCGAAGCUGCGGCAGCGACACUAUGUGUUGUUGGGUAGGGGAGCGUUCUGUAAGCCUGUGAAGGUGU
rnacentral:rRNA from 1 species